GGGGAAUAUUGGACAAUGGGCGCAAGCCUGAUCCAGCAAUGCCGCGUGUGUGAAGAAGGUUUUCGGAUUGUAAAGCACUUUCGGCGGGGACGAUGAUGACGGUACCCGCAGAAGAAGCCCCGGCUAACUUCGUGCCAGCAGCCGCGGUAAUACGAAGGGGGCUAGCGUUGCUCGGAAUGACUGGGCGUAAAGGGCGCGUAGGCGGAUUGUACAGUCAGACGUGAAAUUCCUGGGCUCAACCUGGGGACUGCGUUUGAGACGUAUGAUCUUGAGUGAGGAAGAGGGUUGUGGAAUUCCCAGUGUAGAGGUGAAAUUCGUAGAUAUUGGGAAGAACACCGGUGGCGAAGGCGGCAACCUGGUCCUUGACUGACGCUGAGGCGCGAAAGCGUGGGGAGCAAACAGGA
rnacentral:rRNA from 1 species